rnacentral:rRNA from 1 species
GGGUAAACGGGAGAAAUCCUGAAUUCGAAAGGGGCCGGAUUCAAGUCCAUCCUGAUUGCUCAGGCCGCUCGGCCCCGCCAGAUGGUGCCGGUCGCCCGCGGCGAUUCAUUUCGCUUGCGGUGUCGUUCCCGGCGCUCACUCGGUGGGGUGGCGUUGCUCUGGCGUCGGAGGAGUGCACUUCCACCCUAGUAGAAACGUCGCGACCCGUUGGGUGCCGGUCUAAGGCCCGGGAUGGCAGACCACGUGUCCUGCGGGGGCUCUCGCAGGCGCGCGGACUCCUGGUGUCCCGGCCGGCAGCCCGACGGUAAGACCAGAGGGGUCGAUCCGCUACUUGUGAAACACUUUGGCUGUGUAGCGUCCGGCCCGGCGCCGACGCGUGCGGGGAUGAGGCGCAAGCCCCGGGU